rnacentral:rRNA from 1 species
ACGUAAACAACCUGCCUUCAGGAUGGGGACAACAGACGGAAACGACUGCUAAUACCGAAUAAGUUCCAAGAGCCGCAUGGCCCAUGGAAGAAAAGGUGGCCUCUACCUGUAAGCUAUCGCCUGAAGAGGGGUUUGCGUCUGAUUAGCUGGUUGGAGGGGUAACGGGCCCACCAAGGCGACGAUCAGUAGCCGGUCUGAGAGGAUGAACGGCCACACUGGAACUGAGACACGGUCCAGACUCCUACGGGAGGCAGCAUG